rnacentral:tRNA from 1 species
GUAAACAUAGUUUAAAAUAAAACACUAAGCUGUGGACUUAAUAAUAGAACCCAUCCCUUCUUGUUUACC